UGAAAUUCAUUAGAGAAAUUUUAACUUGAGCAUUUGCCAUUGUCUUUUCAUGUGUUUUUUUUUCAUAGAAAUUAAUAAAACAUUAUAGAUUUACUCUAGUUUCGAAUGUUCUGAAAAUACUUUUAACAGACUGGUUUGCCCAGCUAAGAUUAGAUAGAAAGUUUUUUUAGAUUUCAAUUUCAAUAUGAAAUUGCCGCGUUUUAUGGGGCAUUUCGAAUUUGGGGUGUAUCUGCCAGGUAUUUUGCCAUAGCCCUAUGAAUCGGUGUACGUAUCUGUAUCUGUAUCUGCGGCUGCGUGUGUAUCUUGUUCUUUGUACUGCGUGUGCCGUAAUGAGCGUAACCAUAAAAGCGUCUUUUGUUUUACGACCGCACUGCGCGCGUGUUUACCAUAGAAAACAAUGCCAAUUUUAUGGCUGCCCCGGCCACGCAGACAAUGGCCCAAAGAACCGCAUCCCGACAGUCCAGCAUCCACGUAACUAUAGUAUAUAGGGCUUAUAGUACUUUAUGUACCUUGGGCCAAAGGUGACGGCGAAACUAGAGCAAUUGGGUCGAAAGGGUGAUGGCGAGCAGGACGAUGCAUUAAUUAGAACGCUGCGGAUAUAGUAUAUGUAUAUGCAUGGGUUUAAGGAUCGAAAUUUGCUUUCUUCGGGGCCAUAAAGCGGCUCUUAUCUAAAUUAGGAUGUUGCUUGUUUGCGGCUGUGUCUGCACAACAACGCCGUUUUCCACUAUUUGCGUAGGUGUUUCAUUUCCGUUUCACAAUUUAUCUGGCGAGUGUUUGCCGGCAUACUCAGCCGCACAGCGCACCUUUAGCCGCCUCAAGAUUUUCCUUUUUCCCUACUUUCACAUGUGAUUUUCCCUUGCGGCCUUAUCAGUUUUCAGUUUUCAGUUUUUGGCGCGUCAGCCGUCGUCAUCGUGAUUCACAUUUUUCCCUCCCUGCCCGUCGCUGUUUGCACUCGAAACAGUGACAGAAACGGAAAUAGUAAACGAAAACUGCACUUUUCCAAGGGCCCCAGUCCGCGGGCUUGGAAUGAGCCGAUGCAGUUUGGGAAUCGAGGGAAUUUGGCGCAUUUGGGGUGCGUGCCUUAUCAGUAGGGGAGCCCAUGGGGCUACGACUCUAGAUAUCGCAUAAAUCAGAGCCUAGUCGCGCUUUUGCUUGAUUAUUUCCAUUUUAUCUAUUUGGCUGCGGCUGGCUAUAAAGUUUCUAGGUUUUUAUCUCUGUGCAAACACGGGAAAGCAGUGCUAUUAAGACCCUGGCGACCCUAUUUCCUCUGGCCCCCAAGAAAACAGCGAGUUCUAUUCUUUUAAUUAGAAAUCCGCAGCAGAGGUGUUGCCCCUCAAACGCAAUCCAAGCAGUGAGUUCAGCACGGCAGCGGAAUUCAGUUUUAAUUUGUGUGGUAAAUAGAAAAUAUACGGCAUUUUUCAAAUUAUGUAAGAAUUUACGCACUUAAUAUAGAGUAAUAAAUAAGUCUCUUCUUUACUUCGUUAUUAUUUCUCCUGCAUUUAUUACUUAAUUUAAGAAAUCUUGUGGAAUAUUUGACACACAUUUUAGUUAAAACAGGUCCCCCACUUUAGCCGUUUGUUUUUAAUCUGUUUACCUGAAUUUCACAGCAGACUUUUAAUCCAUGCUUAUCCGAUCUUAAGUAAUUUUCCAAACAAGAUAUUUUUUGCCUCAAAUCGCGCCAAUCGAUUUAAUUGAUUAGAACCCCGAGAGCCGGUUUUCUCGCACCAAACCAGUUCAUGCAACCCCAAAACAUCGGAUGGGAUUUCGAGAAUGACCACCACCACCGCCACCGCCCAAAUUGAUCAUGCGAAAGAAUGUUUUGUGUUUAGCUGCCGUCCAAAGAUAUAGAUUUCUUCUAUCCACUACUCUCAAAAUACCCAUGCAACUUAGCACCAGGCUGCUAAUUACAUAUUCGUUGCCUGAAAAAUUAACUUUCCAGCGGCGAACAUUGUAGCAUGCCAGUGGCGACAACGAGACUGCUGCCAGUUUUAUAAAGUCUCCCCCUUAAAAAAAAUGUGUUUUUUAUCUACCUAUCUGACUAUGCGGCUAUCUGACUAUCUAGCAAUAUGUUAUGGACUGAGCCUGGGCCCAGAAGCCUCCCAUUUCAAUGACGAGCGUUGCGGCUGCCGAAAAGCUGUCAAAUUGUCGAAAAAAUUAUUGUUAUCGCGUUGCGCGUUAUUGAGUGGCCGUGUUCACACGCAGCUCCAUCUCAAGAUACAGAUACAGAUACAGAUACAGCUACAGAUACAGAUACAGCUAUGGAUACGGAUACAAAGAUACAUUUGUAUCUACACAUGUCCGUACAAACAAUUCAAUUAAUUGUUGUAGAGCGGAAUAUGUCACAUCGGAGGGAUAUGGAUGGCUAGCUUUGGUAUUUAGGGGGCCGUAAGGCCGAACUCUUCGGUAGUUUAUUGAUUUACAACCUGGGGGCACCGUAUCGCAGAUAGAUGCAAGUUAAUGGGUGGCGUCCACUUGGGGUUCUACUACUGGAACCCAAGCCCCAACCCCAAAACCAUAACUACAACUAUAUCACUGUAGCUGGAACUGGAACUGGAACCGACUUAUCGCAGUGGCGUUGUGAUUUUUUGAGUGUCGAAACGCCAAAGCAAAUAUGAUUGGAGUUUUAUUUACACUGGCCCGUCCGAUUGGGUCUUAAUUACUUCCGAAAACAAUGACAACCGAUGACCAGUGGCGAUACGAGCCCCGUACGCGAGCAUUAAUCAAUUUACAACGAGAUUUAAGCAAUGGCAAUCGCUCUUCAGCCAAGGCAGACAGCGCAGCGAUCUCCGAGAUCUCCGAGAUCUUGGCGAUCGUAGAUCGGAGUCGUCUGAAGCUGGAACUCCGAUCGCUGAAGAGCUCCAGACUCCGAAGUUCGAGUUGGCGAUGGCGAUGGAGAUGGAGACCUGAAGAGCAUGGCUGUUGAUCACGGUGAUGACUGCGUAAAAACGAAAAGUAAAAACACCAAACUGGCACACAGCUUUGGAUGCUUGAGAUGUGUUGCCCGUUUGUGUUAAUCCCAUCAAGACCCAGCACAUUAUGAAGUAGCAACACCAGCAACAAUAGCAUCAGCACCACCACCAACAGCAUGGAAACAGCACAAACUGGAGCUGCACUGCAAGAAAUGAAGUAUAACAUAUUAUUAGAACCAGUAGAAGCUAUGAACUUUUAGCUAUAGUGUUAGGUCUUGCAAUAUAAACAGUAUUUUACCCACUAAGUUAUACAAAUAAAUAAACUUUUAAAGGGCAAAAUUAAA